rnacentral:rRNA from 1 species
AUUGAACGCUGGCGGCAUGCUUUACACAUGCAAGUCGAACGGCAGCGCGGGCUUCGGCCUGGCGGCGAGUGGCGAACGGGUGAGUAAUGCAUCGGAACGUGCCCAGUAGUGGGGGAUAGCCCGGCGAAAGCCGGAUUAAUACCGCAUACGACCUGAGGGUGAAAGCGGGGGACCGAAAGGCCUCGCGCUAUUGGAGCGGCCGAUGUCGGAUUAGCUAGUUGGUGGGGUAAAGGCUUACCAAGGCGACGAUCCGUAGCUGGUCUGAGAGGACGACCAGCCACACUGGGACUGAGACACGGCCCAGACUCCUACGGGAGGCAGCAGUGGUGAAUUUUGGACAAUGGGGGCAACCCUGAUCCAGCCAUGCCGCGUGCGGGAAGAAGGCCUUCGGGUUGUAAACCGCUUUUGUUCGGGAAGAAAUCCUCUGGGCUAAUACCCCGGGGGGAUGACGGUACCGGAAGAAUAAGCACCGGCUAACUACGUG